UUGAAUUUAUGAAAACAAAACAAAAUGUGAAAAUAACGUAGAACUACUUUUAUUAGAGACGUGAAACCAACUAGAUGAAUACAUGGGUAAAGAGUUAAGUUUUCUUCAAAAAAUAUAGGAUUGAAGAAAACAAUCGAAAUGCAGGUCUUUGAAUUAAAAUGACAUUUUCAUAUACAUAUUACUUAGCUACUUAAUGUAUUUGUCUAACAUAGUAGCCUUCUCAAGGUGACUAGGUUUAUUACGC
rnacentral:lncRNA from 1 species